CAAUGGGCGAAAGCCUGACGGAGCAAUACCGCGUGAGGGAGGAAUGCCUUUGGGUUGUAAACCUCUUUUCUCAGGGAAGAAGAUCUGACGGUACCUGAGGAAUAAGUAUCGGCUAACUCCGUGCCAGCAGCCGCGGUAAUACGGAGGAUGCAAGCGUUAUCCGGAAUCAUUGGGCGUAAAGCGUCCGCAGGUGGUUUCCAAAGUCUGCUGUUAAAGACUGGAGCUCAACUCCGGAACGGCGGUGGAAACUUGGAAACUAGAGUUCGGUAGGGGUAGCAGGAAUUCCCAGUGUAGCGGUGAAAUGCGUAGAUAUUGGGAAGAACAUCGGUGGCGAAGGCGUGCUACUGGACCGUAACUGACACUCAGGGACGAAAGCUAGGGGAGCGAAAGGGAUUAGAUACCCCUGUAGUCCUAGCUGUAAACGAUGGAAACUAGGUGUGGCUUG
rnacentral:rRNA from 1 species